UUUCUUUUGGUGUCUGAAUAGGUCAUGGCAAUACCUUUCCUUUGAGCCCAGACCAGUUGUCUUUGUGCGCAUCGUUGGUGUUGAGAACACAGCAAAUGAGGUGUUUCACUGUGUCCAUUUCGAGUGUCCAGCCAAUCAGAAGGAACCUAGUAUCUGCGGCAGUGACAGAACAGACAGCUCUGAGAACAGCGUCGUAUCAGAUACAACAAUCAGCUCCAUAAUGUGAUAAUUGACAUGUGUCAUACUAUGUCGUAGCAUAGUAUAACUAGAGAAGAGAACGCGUGUAACUUAUUCACUAUUGUUCCUAAUCAGCUUGUUGACAUUGCCAUUUACUACUUACAACAUAUAAUACAAAUUCAGCUUCAACUUUCUUACCUAAAAAUAGAAUUCAAAUUACUUCCAGGGCAAACUCCAAAUGAAAGGAUGGUAUAUGUGUAAGCGUAGAUGUAUCUUUUCAGUUGAAAUAAUCAUUAAUGCUGGAUCAUUAUUUAGGAUGGUAUAAACACGGAGUGUGUUUUGUAUAAAUUACAUGUACAACUACUUAGAAAAACCUGUUUAGACUGAUAUUAGUCAGGCAAUGUCAAGCGCAUUGCAGUAAGCACUACAAUACUGUUUGUUUUUGCCACAAUCCAUAGGAGUGGGGUAAGGCAAAAGGUAACUGGACUGAGAGGAAGGCUGGGAACCUGGAAAACCAUAUCAUAUACCAGUAUGGCCGAUUUAGAAGUGACAAGAGCAUCUAACCCUUAUGUCACUGCGACAAGUUCAAGUCAAAUUUAUUUAAGAUGAGAGAAACCAAUGGAAAAAUUACCCAGAAUAGCUAGAUCUUUCGGAGAGAGUGACUUAUUACAUUUUGCCGACUUUUGUAACUCUUUGUAAAAGUUAUCCAUUAAUUUGCACUUCAGAGUAGAGUGAAUAAUAGAAUUUGAGGAAAAUGAUAAAAAUAGUUUAUGGAGAACUGAUUCAGAAGAGAAAUAGUAUUUUGUCACAAAAUUUAUUUGAUAUUAAUUUAACCAUAAAAUAGAUUGUGUUAGUAGUCGUCUUACUUGCUUAUCUUGUUCCAGUCUCAGUGGACAGGAAUGUUACUUGAGUAUUAAAAGUAAAAGUGAUGUGGAGGUACAAA